rnacentral:rRNA from 1 species
CAGUCGCCGCGGUAAUACGAAGGGUGCAAGCGUUACUCGGAAUUACUGGGCGUAAAGCGUGCGUAGGUGGUGGUUUAAGUCCGUUGUGAAAGCCCUGGGCUCAACCUGGGAAUUGCAGUGGAUACUGGAUCACUAGAGUGUGGUAGAGGAUAGUGGAAUUUCCGGUGUAGCAGUGAAAUGCGUAGAGAUCGGAAGGAACAUCUGUGGCGAAGGCGACUAUCUGGGCCAACACUGACACUCAUGCACGAAAGCGUGGGGAGCAAACAGGAUUAGAUACCCCGGUAGUCCCUGUCUCUUAUAC